rnacentral:rRNA from 1 species
CAGUAGCCACGGUAAUACGAAGGGGGCUAGCGUUGUUCGGAUUUACUGGGCGUAAAGGGCGCGUAGACGGGCUGAUAAGUCAGGGGUGAAAUCCCAAGGCUCAACCUUGGAACUGCCUUUGAUACUGUUGGUCUUGAGUCCGGGAGAGGUGAGUGGAACUGCGAGUGUAGAGGUGAAAUUCGUAGAUAUUCGCAAGAACACCAGUGGCGAAGGCGGCUCACUGGCCCGGAACUGACGCUGAGGCGCGAAAGCGUGGGGAGCAAACAGGAUUAGAUACCCCAGUAGUCCCUGUCUCUUAUAC